ACGAACGCUGGCGGCGUGCCUAAUACAUGCAAGUCGAACGCUUCUUUUUCCACCGGAGCUUGCUCCACCGGAAAAAGAGGAGUGGCGAACGGGUGAGUAACACGUGGGUAACCUGCCCAUCAGAAGGGGAUAACACUUGGAAACAGGUGCUAAUACCGUAUAACAAUCGAAACCGCAUGGUUUUGAUUUGAAAGGCGCUUUCGGGUGUCGCUGAUGGAUGGACCCGCGGUGCAUUAGCUAGUUGGUGAGGUAACGGCUCACCAAGGCGACGAUGCAUAGCCGACCUGAGAGGGUGAUCGGCCACAUUGGGACUGAGACACGGCCCAAACUCCUACGGGAGGCAGCAGUAGGGAAUCUUCGGCAAUGGACGAAAGUCUGACCGAGCAACGCCGCGUGAGUGAAGAAGGUUUUCGGAUCGUAAAACUCUGUUGUUAGAGAAGAACAAGGAUGAGAGUAACUGUUCAUCCCUUGACGGUAUCUAACCAGAAAGCCACGGCUAACUACGUGCCAGCAGCCGCGGUAAUACGUAGGUGGCAAGCGUUGUCCGGAUUUAUUGGGCGUAAAGCGAGCGCAGGCGGUUUCUUAAGUCUGAUGUGAAAGCCCCCGGCUCAACCGGGGAGGGUCAUUGGAAACUGGGAGACUUGAGUGCAGAAGAGGAGAGUGGAAUUCCAUGUGUAGCGGUGAAAUGCGUAGAUAUAUGGAGGAACACCAGUGGCGAAGGCGGCUCUCUGGUCUGUAACUGACGCUGAGGCUCGAAAGCGUGGGGAGCAAACAGGAUUAGAUACCCUGGUAGUCCACGCCGUAAACGAUGAGUGCUAAGUGUUGGAGGGUUUCCGCCCUUCAGUGCUGCAGCUAACGCAUUAAGCACUCCGCCUGGGGAGUACGACCGCAAGGUUGAAACUCAAAGGAAUUGACGGGGGCCCGCACAAGCGGUGGAGCAUGUGGUUUAAUUCGAAGCAACGCGAAGAACCUUACCAGGUCUUGACAUCCGAUGCAUAGCGCAGAGAUGCGUGAAGUCCUUCGGGACAUCGAGACAGGUGGUGCAUGGUUGUCGUCAGCUCGUGUCGUGAGAUGUUGGGUUAAGUCCCGCAACGAGCGCAACCCUUAUUGUUAGUUGCCAUCAUUUAGUUGGGCACUCUAGCAAGACUGCCGGUGACAAACCGGAGGAAGGUGGGGAUGACGUCAAAUCAUCAUGCCCCUUAUGACCUGGGCUACACACGUGCUACAAUGGGAAGUACAACGAGUCGCAAAGUCGCGAGGCUAAGCUAAUCUCUUAAAGCUUCUCUCAGUUCGGAUUGUAGGCUGCAACUCGCCUACAUGAAGCCGGAAUCGCUAGUAAUCGCGGAUCAGCACGCCGCGGUGAAUACGUUCCCGGGCCUUGUACACACCGCCCGUCACACCACGAGAGUUUGUAACACCCGAAGUCGGUGAGGUAACCUUUUGGAGCCAGCCGCCUAAGGUGGGAUAGAUGAUUGGGGUG
rnacentral:rRNA from 1 species